rnacentral:misc_RNA from 1 species
GAUGAAGAACGUAGCGAAAUGCGAUAAGUAGUGUGAAUUGCAGAAUUCAGUGAAUCAUCGAAUCUUUGAACGCACAUUGCGGCCAUAGGUAUUCCUUUGGCCAUGCCUGUUCGAGCGUCAUUUACACCCUCAAGCCUAGCUUGGUGUUGGGCGUCUGUCCCGCCGUUCUCGCGCGCGGACUCGCCUCAAAGUCAUUGGCGGCGGUCGUGCCGGCCCCCUCGCGCAGCACAUUUGCGCUUCUCGGAGGCCCGGCGGAUCCGCGCUCCAGCAAGACCUUUCACGACUUGACCUCGGAUCAGGUAGGGAUACCCGCUGAACUUAAGCAUAUUCAAUAAGCGGAGGA